rnacentral:rRNA from 1 species
AGCAUGUGGUUUAAUUCGAAGCAACGCGAAGAACCUUACAGGUCUUGACAUCCCGAUGCUAUUUCUAGAGAUAGAAAGUUACUUCGGUACAUCGGUGACAGGUGGUGCAUGGUUGUCGUCAGCUCGUGUCGUGAGAUGUUGGGUUAAGUCCCGCAACGAGCGCAACCCCUAUUGUUAGUUGCCAUCAUUCAGUUGGGCACUCUAGCGAGACUGCCGGUAAUAAACCGGAGGAAGGUGGGGAUGACGUCAAAUCAUCAUGCCCCUUAUGACCUGGGCUACACACGUGCUACAAUGGUUGGUACAACGAGUUGCGAGUCGGUGACGGCGAGCUAAUCUCUUAAAGCCAAUCUCAGUUCGGAUUGUAGGCUGCAACUCGCCUACAUGAAGUCGGAAUCGCUAGUAAUCGCGGAUCAGCACGCCGCGGUGAAUACGUUCCCGGGCCUU